rnacentral:rRNA from 1 species
UUAAGUAAGAAAGAGCGUAUGGCGAAUGCCUAGGCACAAAGAGGCGAAGAAGGACGCAGCAAACGGCGAAACGCGACGGCGAGCAGUAAGCAGGCAAGGACCCGUCGAUGUCCGAAUGGGGGAACCCGGCAUCCGUAAUGGGAUGUCAGCGCAUGAUGAAUAAAUAGUGAUGCGUGGCGAGACGCAGGGAACUGAAACAUCUCAGUACCUGCAGGAGAAGAAAGUAAAGAACGAUUCCGUAAGUAGCGGCGAGCGAAAGCGGAGGAGCCCAAACCAUCGCAAAGAUGGGGUUAUAGGGCUGUCAGCGAAGCAGACAUGACAUGAUAGGAGAAGCUUCUGGGAAGGAGCGACGAAGAGGGUGACAUUCCCGUAUCCGAAAUCGUGAAGUGAUGCGAGACAGUACCUGAGUACGUCGGGGCACGUGGAAUCCUGACGGAAUUAUCGAGGACCAUCUCGAAAGGCUAAAUACUCCUUUGUGACCGAUAGUGAACCAGUACCGUGAGGGAAAGGUGAAAAGAACCCCGGGAGGGGAGUGAAAGAGAACCUGAAACCAUAUGCUUACAAGAAGUCAGAGCCCGUUAAGGGGUGAUGGCGUGCCUUUUGUAGAAUGAGCCGGCGAGUUAUGAUAUGCAGCGAGGUUAAGCAGGAGAUGCGGAGCCGAAGCGAAAGCGAGUCUGAAUAGGGCGAGAGUUGUAUGUCAUAGACCCGAAACCGAGUGAUCUAGCCAUGAUCAGGUUGAAGUUGGGGUAAAACCCGAUGGAGGACCGAACCGACCCCCGUUGAAACGUUGGCGGAUGAAUUGUGGCUAGGGGUGAAAUUCCAAACGAACUCGGAGAUAGCUGGUUCUCCCCGAAAUAGCUUUAGGGCUAGCGUCAGAGUGAAAGUUAUGUGAAGGUAGAGCACUGAAUAUGUGAUGGCCUCAUCCCGAGGUACUGAAUAUAAUCAAACUCCGAAUGUCACAGGAACAUAUCUGGCAGUCAGACUGCGGGUGAUAAGGUCCGUAGUCAAAAGGGAAACAGCCCAGACCAUCAGCUAAGGUCCCAAAAUAUAUGCUAAGUGGAAAAGGAUGUGGAGAUGUCCAGACAACCAGGAGGUUGGCUCAGAAGCAGCCACCCUUUAAAGAGUGCGUAACAGCUCACUGGUCGAAUGACUCUGCGCCGAAAAUUUACCGGGGCUAAGCAUAAUACCGAAGCUAUGGAUUUAUACGACAAGUAUAAGUGGUAGGGGAGCGUUCCUGUCAGCGAGGAAGCAUGACCGCAAGGACAUGUGGAGCGGCAGGAAGAGAGAAUGCCGGUGUGAGUAGCGGAACGUGGGUGAGAAUCCCACGCACCGAAUACCCAAGGUUUCCAGAGGAAGGUUCGUCCGCUCUGGGUAAGUCGGGACCUAAGGCGAGGCCGAAAGGCGUAGUCGAUGGACAACGGGUGGAGAUUCCCGUACCUGAUGAAGAGGCAAUGGAGUGACGGAGCAGGCUAGGCGAUCCAGCUGCUGGAAUAGCUGGUGCAAGCGAGGUAGGGGACAUCCAGGCAAAUCCGGAUGUUGAAACCCGAAGGCGUGACGCGUAUGGAACAUUACGAUAAGUACAGAAGUCGCCGAAGCAAGCUUCCAAGAAAAGCUUCUAGCAAUCAACUCUUUGUCAGCCCGUACCGAAAAUGGACACACAUGGGUGAGGAGAGAAUCCUAAGGUGAGCGAGAGAACUAUAGCUAAGGAACUCUGCAAAAUGACUCCGUAACUUCGGGAGAAGGAGUGCUCAUUGAGAGAUGAGCCGCAGUAAAACGGCCCAAGCGACUGUUUACCAAAAACACAGCUCUCUGCCAAGACGCAAGUCGAAGUAUAGGGGGUGACGCCUGCCCGGUGCUGGAAGGUUAAGAGGAGUGGUCAGCGCAAGCGAAGCCAUGAAUUGAAGCCCCAGUAAACGGCGGCCGUAACUAUAACGGUCCUAAGGUAGCGAAAUUCCUUGUCAGGUAAGUUCUGACCCGCACGAAAGGCGUAACGAUUUG